ACACACCGCCCGUCACACCAUGAGAGUUUGUAACACCCAAAGCCGGUGGGGUAACCUUUUGGAGCCAGCCGUCUAAGGUGGGACAGAUGAUUGGGUGAAGUCGUAACAAGGUAAC
rnacentral:rRNA from 1 species